rnacentral:rRNA from 1 species
AUGACAUGUGUUAAAUCAGUAAGAUACUCGGUAAAAUUCAAUGGGAAACUUUUGGAGGUGUUUACCCCUUCUAGGGGACUUCGACAAGGUGACCCACUAUCCUCGUUUUUAUUCCUAUUUAUUGCUGAUGCCUUGUCUGCCCUGAUCUCUAAAUCAGUGGACGAGGGGAAUUUGAAGGGGGUGAGUAUUUGUCGUGGUGCGCCGAUCAUAUCUCACCUCCUGUUUGCGGAUGACACUAUGCUGUUUUUCGAAGCUUCAGGCGAACAAGCAAAUAUUGUAAAAGGUCUGUUGAACACUUAUUCCUCGGCGACGGGUCAACUCAUUAACCCCGAGAAGUGUUCCAUUUUUUUCCGGACAAUUGCAAUGAGCCGGUGGCGGAAGAGGUGA